rnacentral:rRNA from 1 species
GACAGAGGAUGCAAGCGUUAUCCGGAAUGAUUGGGCGUAAAGCGUCUGUAGGUGGCUUUUCAAGUCCGCCGUCAAAUCCCAGGGCUCAACCCUAGACAGGCGGUGGAAACUACCAAGCUGGAGUAUGGUAGGGGCAGAGGGAAUUUCCGGUGGAGCGGUGAAAUGCAUUGAGAUCGGAAAGAACACCAACGGCGAAAGCAGCUCUCUGGGACGGUACUGACACUGAGACGCGAAAGCGUGGGGAGCGAACAGG